rnacentral:rRNA from 1 species
GGGUAACAUGCCCUAAGGUGGGGGAUAAUCUCGGGAAACUGAGGAUAAUACCCCAUAGGUCUGAUAUGCUGGAAUGCUUUCAGGCCGAAAACUCCGGUGCCUUAGGAUUGGCCUGCGGUCUAUCAGGCUGUAGUGGGUGUAAUGGACCCACUAGCCCGUGACGGAUAUGGGCCUUGAGAGAGGGAGCCCAGAGAUGGACUCUGAGACAUGAGUCCAGGCCCUACGGGGCGCAGCAGUCGCGAAAACUUCGCAAUGGGGGCAACCCCGACGAGGGAAUUCCAAGUGCCAGCACUUUGUGUUGGCUGUUCUCCUGUCUAAAAAACAGGAGGAGUAAGGGGCGGGUAAGACGGGUGCCAGCCGCCGCGGUAAUACCCGCGCCCCUAGUGGUGGUCGAUAUUAUUGAGCCUAAAACGUCCGUAGCCGGUCUUCUAAAUCCUUGGGUAAAUCGGGCAGCUUAACUGUCCGAAGUCCGGGGAGACUGGGAGACUUGGGACCGGGAGAGGUCAGAGGUACUUCUGGGGUAGGGGUAAAAUCCUGUAAUCCUGGAAGGACCACCGGUGGCGAAGGCGUCUGACUAGAACGGAUCCGACGGUGAGGGACGAAGCCCUGGGGCGCAAACGGGAUUAGAUACCCCGGUAGUCCAGGGUGUAAACGCUGCGGGCUUGGUGUUGGGGGUCCUUAGUGGGCGCCCAGUGCCGGAGAGAAGUUGUUAAGCCUGCUGCUUGGGGAGUAUGUCCGCAAGGAUGAAACUUAA